rfam:Sulfitobacter sp. EhC04 A4_Contig1, whole genome shotgun sequence.
AUCGCGCCACAACGGCUUCCUGACGUGGCGUCUUGGUAUUCAUUUGGAGCA